GUUGUGAGCUGGUGGUCUAUGCCUAGUGAAGGUGUCCCUCUGUCAUCUUGUUCUGGUGGUGUUGUGACCUGGUGCUUUAUGCCAAGUGAAGGUGUCUUUCUGUCAUCUUGUUCUGGUGGUGUUGUGACCUGGAGCUCUAUGCCAAGUGAAGGUGUCCCUCUGCCAUCUUGCUCUGGUCGUGUUGUGAGCUGGUGGUCUAUAGCCAGUGAAGGUGUCCUUCUGUCAUCUUGUUCUGGUUGUGUUGUGAGCUGGUGGUCUAUAGCCAGUGAAGGUAUCCUUCUAUCAUCUUGCUCUGGUGAUGUUAUGAGCUGGUGAUUUUUGCUCAACGAAAGUGUCCCUCUGUCAUCUUGCUCUGGUGGUGUUGUGAGCU